UCUAUCUUCAUAACUUUAGUAAAUCUAAAAUUAAUGUUGUUCUCUCUCUAAUCUAGCAUCCUUGUAAUUCAUUUACCCAUUUAUUCUCCAGAUAUCUGGUCAGCAUCCUGAGAACCAACUCUGGGACUCUAAGAUUUCCAUGCAGGAGAAUAAAUGACAAAUGGGAAAACUACAUCUAUCACAAGAAGUGCAAAGGGUCUGAGAUUCUGCCCUACUUGUCAGCUAACAAGUUAGCCUGCUGUGGUUUCACAGAUGCUGGCAGAAGACAUGAACUUCUUGGGUCAGAGACAAAGUACUUUAUUAAUUGUUGCACAACAAGGAACAUGAGCUUCACGUUUGUACAAUUAUUCUUGUCCUUCCACGUGCCACAGGGGUGUCAUGGAACAGCCUAUGUGGAUAAAUGUGCAGUGGGUUUGUGUUCCUGCUGAGGAACUCUUAAGCUUAAGAAACCCCAAAAUUUCAUAGUGGAUUGCAAGCAAAUCUGCACAAACUUUACCCUAGCCUUAUAUUUGCCAUUGUUAUUAUGCUUGACUUUCAUGGUUCUUAAGAUUGUAGCAUAAUUAUCCAUUUUCUUUGAAGUCAGUUCACUUUUGUAAUCACUUGAUGUUGCUCUUGCUUUAGGAAAGAAAUAAUUUUAAGACCACAUUAAUUAUGUUGCAGCAGCAAUUGUGUAGGAGUGUCAUGCUGGUACAGUUUGUAUUUAUAGUGUAUUUCUGUUCUUUCCAUAAGUAUGCUACAGGCUCAUUCACAGCAAUGAUUUAGGCACCCAACAUCCAAGUUUUUCUUUGCUCUUCUGCCUUUUCCCAUUCAUUCUCUCCUCAUCUCCACUGUCUUUUUCACUACCCUAUUGCGUCUCUAGACUAGGACUGGUUCAUGUCUUUCUGCAGAGGGAUCGCAGACUGUAUUUCACAGUGAAAUUUCACAGUGCAAUUGAAUCUGAGGGUGUUAAAGUCUGCUUAACCUACAGCUGCUCAUGACUCUUCCUAUCAAAAGGAGCAUUAAAAAAAUUGUGGCAUAAAUUUAAGAUUGUCAGACAGAUGAGGGUUCAUUCAGCCUUAAAAAAAUAUCUUACUUGCUACAACAGUUUCCAUUUGAGUACCAGAAAGCACCAGAGAUCUUUGGGUCACAUGUUAAUUUUGUAUUAAAAGAUCAAUCUCCACACUCUUUGAUUUUACUGAGGCCCAGAUGAAUCCCAUCCCCUUGACUGUGGCUUGCAUUCCAUGAAAAUUUGCAUGCCUUUUAUGAUUUUCCUGCCUUUUUCAUGGAUAUAUUUUAAAAUCAUUGUGGUCUAAGUGUUUAAUUCUGGAAGAAACGAAGUGAUAAAGAGCUGGAAUUGCUUUAUAUCCUACCAUCUGUUUUACCGUUUGUCUUCUGUAAUGAGAACAUUAAGUUGAGCUUCCCUCCCUACUUCUCUUUAAGGUUCUGAUUUAGGGCACACUAGCAGGAGAUGAACCAUAUGUAGGGCUUUCCGGACAGUAAGGGUUAGUUGCCAAAUCUUUUAUGAUGGCCAUCUCCUGAGCAAUAAGUUAUACAGGAGGGCAGUUCAUUGAUCUUUUUUUCCAAUUUGUGUACAAACUAAUAGUUAAACAUUUGUGACUAUACAAGGUGGUAAAAUGAAAUUACCUAUGGCAUAGGUGCAAAGCUACAUUUGGAAGGGGUUUCCCUGUGUUUGCUUAUUUGGGGUACUAUCAAGCUGGUUAAUGUUUUAAGAAUAGUUUAGAAGGGAAACAAGGGAAAAUCUGGAAAAAUCUGAUUUCUAAGCAUCUCUUCACUAGGGGUAUACAGCAGGCUGUGGGUUUUUACUUUAGGCAUAUGAACACCAAAAGAAGACUUGUUGGAUACUAUAAAAUAGCCAAUUUCUCCAUCUGGUUUUCAAUAUGGAUAAAGAUUUGCUGCAAGUCUGGAUUGAAUGCAUGUCUCAGUUAGUUUAUAAUACAAAUAUGGAGGGUCUUUUAAUUACAGAACUUGAAGUGUGAUCCAAAGAAUUAAACUCUCUUCAGCUAAGUAUUCAGCAAGAAUGGGGUAGAGAUAAGAGCAAUAUGAUUUUAUUUAUAAUUUGCUCUACAUAAUUUCUAAAAGUGAUUUUUUUACAUCCUCAAGAAACUGGCAAAGAAUAGAAAAAUCUUAGGCCCAGUCACUUGUGUUAGAAUUGAAAUUGGGCUAAUAAAGAAGACUCUUUGAAUCUGGUAUUCCUUCCUUUGAGGAAGUUAUUUUAACAAAACAACCUAUGUUUUUAUUUUUUAAAAGGGACAAAAUAUUUAUCAUUUUUGAGAUAUAAUCGACAUAUUAGUUUCAGGUGUACAAAAUAAUUUGGUAUGUGUGCAGCAAAAUCAUAACAGUAAGUCUAACAUCCAUCACUACACAUAGUUCAAAUCUUUUUUCUUGUGAGAACUUUUAAGCUUUACUCUCUUAAUAACUUUAUAUAUCUCAAUCUACCUAUACACAUAUAUACAAUGCAAUAUUAUUAACUGCAGUCACCAUGCUUUACAUUGCAUCAUCAGGACUUAUUUAUAAUUGGAGGUUUGUUCCUUUGACCACCUUUACCCAUUUUGUCCCCCCCUUGCCCACAUCUCUUCUUUGUGUCUGUAUUUUUUUCUUAAAGAUUCCACACAUAAGUGAGAUACUUUAUUUUUUUCUGUCUGACUUAUUUCACUUAGCAUAAUG